UGACCUGUGGCUGGGGGUGAAAGGCCAAUCAAACCGGGAGAUAGCUGGUUCUCCCCGAAAGCUAUUUAGGUAGCGCCUCGUGAAUUCAUCUCCGGGGGUAGAGCACUGUUUCGGCUAGGGGGCCAUCCCGGCUUACCAACCCGAUGCAAACUGCGAAUACCGGAGAAUGUUAUCACGGGAGACACACGGCGGGUGCUAAUGUCCGUCGUGAAGAGGGAAACAACCCAGACCGCCAGCUAAGGUCCCAAAGUCAUGGUUAAGUGGGAAACGAUGUGGGAAGGCCCAGACAGCCAGGAUGUUGGCUUAGAAGCAGCCAUCAUUUAAAGAAAGCGUAAUAGCUCACUGGUCGAGUCGGCCUGCGCGGAAGAUGUAACGGGGCUAAACCAUGCACCGAAGCUGCGGCAGCGACACCGUGUGUUGUUGGGUAGGGGAGCGUUCUGUAAGCCUGUGAAGGUGUGCUGUGAGGCAUGCUGGAGGUAUCAGAAGUGCGAAUGCUGACAUAAGUAACGAUAAAGCGGGUGAAAAGCCCGCUCGCCGGAAGACCAAGGGUUCCUGUCCAACGUUAAUCGGGGCAGGGUGAGUCGACCCCUAAGGCGAGGCCGAAAGGCGUAGUCGAUGGGAAACGGGUUAAUAUUCCCGUACUUGGUGUUACUGCGAAGGGGGGACGGAGAAGGCUAUGUUGGCCGGGCGACGGUUGUCCCGGUUUAAGCGUGUAGGUAUGUGUUCCAGGUAAAUCCGGUUCACUUUAACACUGAGGCGUGACGACGAGGCACUACGGUGCUGAAGCAACAAAUGCCCUGCUUCCAGGAAAAGCCUCUAAGCAUCAGGUAACAUCAAAUCGUACCCCAAACCGACACAGGUGGUCAGGUAGAGAAUACCAAGGCGCUUGAGAGAACUCGGGUGAAGGAACUAGGCAAAAUGGUGCCGUAACUUCGGGAGAAGGCACGCUGACACGUAGGUGAAGUGAUUUACUCACGGAGCUGAAGUCAGCCGAAGAUACCAGCUGGCUGCAACUGUUUAUUAAAAACACAGCACUGUGCAAACACGAAAGUGGACGUAUACGGUGUGACGCCUGCCCGGUGCCGGAAGGUUAAUUGAUGGGGUCAGCGCAAGCGAAGCUCCUGAUCGAAGCCCCGGUAAACGGCGGCCGUAACUAUAACGGUCCUAAGGUAGCGAAAUUCCUUGUCGGGUAAGUUCCGACCUGCACGAAUGGCGUAAUGAUGGCCAGGCUGUCUCCACCCGAGACUCAGUGAAAUUGAACUCGCUGUGAAGAUGCAGUGUACCCGCGGCAAGACGGAAAGACCCCGUGAACCUUUACUAUAGCUUGACACUGAACAUUGAGCCUUGAUGUGUAGGAUAGGUGGGAGGCUUUGAAGUGUGGACGCCAGUCUGCAUGGAGCCGACCUUGAAAUACCACCCUUUAAUGUUUGAUGUUCUAACGUGGACCCGUGAUCCGGGUUGCGGACAGUGUCUGGUGGGUAGUUUGACUGGGGCGGUCUCCUCCUAAAGAGUAACGGAGGAGCACGAAGGUUGGCUAAUCCUGGUCGGACAUCAGGAGGUUAGUGCAAUGGCAUAAGCCAGCUUGACUGCGAGCGUGACGGCGCGAGCAGGUGCGAAAGCAGGUCAUAGUGAUCCGGUGGUUCUGAAUGGAAGGGCCAUCGCUCAACGGAUAAAAGGUACUCCGGGGAUAACAGGCUGAUACCGCCCAAGAGUUCAUAUCGACGGCGGUGUUUGGCACCUCGAUGUCGGCUCAUCACAUCCUGGGGCUGAAGUAGGUCCCAAGGGUAUGGCUGUUCGCCAUUUAAAGUGGUACGCGAGCUGGGUUUAGAACGUCGUGAGACAGUUCGGUCCCUAUCUGCCGUGGGCGCUGGAGAACUGAGGGGGGCUGCUCCUAGUACGAGAGGACCGGAGUGGACGCAUCACUGGUGUUCGGGUUGUCAUGCCAAUGGCACUGCCCGGUAGCUAAAUGCGGAAGAGAUAAGUGCUGAAAGCAUCUAAGCACGAAACUUGCCCCGAGAUGAGUUCUCCCUGAGACUUUAGGUCUCCUGAAGGAACGUUGAAGACGACGACGUUGAUAGGCCGGGUGUGUAAGCGCAGCGAUGCGUUGAGCUAACCGGUACUAAUGAACCGUGAGGCUUAACCUUACAACGCCGAAG
rnacentral:rRNA from 1 species